UACGUAGGGGGCAAGCGUUGUCCGGAAUCAUUGGGCGUAAAGAGCGUGUAGGCGGCCUGAUAAGUCGGCUGUGAAAGUCAAGGGCUCAACCCUUGAAUGCCGGCCGAUACUGUCAGGCUAGAAUCCGGAAGAGGCGAGUGGAAUUCCUGGUGUAGCGGUGAAAUGCGCAGAUAUCAGGAGGAACACCUAUGGCGAAGGCAGCUCGCUGGGACGGUAUUGACGCUGAGACGCGAAGGCGUGGGGAGCGAACAGG
rnacentral:rRNA from 1 species